UACGGGGGGGAGCAAGCGUUGUUCGGAUUUACUGGGCGUAAAGGGCGCGUAGGCGGCCACCGCAAGUCGGUUGUGAAAUCUCCGGGCUUAACCCGGAAAGGUCAAUCGAUACUGCGGGGCUAGAGUGCAGAAGGGGCAACUGGAAUUCCGGGUGUAGCGGUGGAAUGCGUAGAGAUCCGGAAGAACACCGGUGGCGAAGGCGGUCUGCUGGGCAGUUGCUGACACUGAGGCGCGACAGCGUGGGGAGCAAACAGG
rnacentral:rRNA from 1 species